rnacentral:sRNA from 1 species
AAUCAAGGAUCAAAGACUAAAAACGCCACAUCCUGUGGCCAAGUCUUCAUAACCUGCUUCCUUCAGG